AUUGAACGCUGGCGGCAGGCCUAACACAUGCCAGUCGAGCGGAUGAAGGGAGCUUGCUCCUGGAUUCAGCGGCGGACGGGUGAGUAAUGCCUAGGAAUCUGCCUGGUAGUGGGGGAUAACGUCCGGAAACGGGCGCUAAUACCGCAUACGUCCUGAGGGAGAAAGUGGGGGAUCUUCGGACCUCACGCUAUCAGAUGAGCCUAGGUCGGAUUAGCUAGUUGGUGGGGUAAAGGCCUACCAAGGCGACGAUCCGUAACUGGUCUGAGAGGAUGAUCAGUCACACUGGAACUGAGACACGGUCCAGACUCCUACGGGAGGCAGCAGUGGGGAAUAUUGGACAAUGGGCGAAAGCCUGAUCCAGCCAUGCCGAGUGUGUGAAGAAGGUCUUCGGAUUGUAAAGCACUUUAAGUUGGGAGGAGGGGCAGUAAGUUAAUACCUUGCUGUUUUGACGUUACCAACAGAAUAAGCACCGGCUAACUUCGUG
rnacentral:rRNA from 1 species